UAUUAAACUCACUUCGUCAACGACUGAA
rnacentral:piRNA from 1 species